UACGGGGGGGGCAAGCGUUGUUCGGAAUUACUGGGCGUAAAGGGCUCGUAGGCGGCCAACUAAGUCAGACGUGAAAUCCCCAGGCUUAACCUGGGAACUGCAUCCGAUACUGGAUGGCUUGAAUCCGGGAGAGGGAUGCAGAAUUCCAGGUGUAGCGGUGAAAUGCGUAGAUAUCUGGAGGAAUACCGGUGGCGAAGGCGGCAUCCUGGACCGGCAUUGACGCUGAGUGAGCGAAAGCUAGGGGAGCAAACGGG
rnacentral:rRNA from 1 species